rnacentral:rRNA from 1 species
CCUACGGGCGGCAGCAGUGGGGAAUAUUGGACAAUGGGGGGAACCCUGAUCCAGCCAUGCCGCGUGUGUGAAGAAGGCCCUCGGGUUGGAAAGCACUUUCAGUGAGGAAGAACGCCUGGUGGUUAAUACCCAUCAGGAAAGACAUCACUCACAGAAGAAGCACCGGCUAACUCCGUGCCAGCAGCCGCGGUAAUACGGAGGGUGCGAGCGUUAAUCGGAAUUACUGGGCGUAAAGCGCGCGUAGGUGGCUUGAUAAGCCGGUUGUGAAAGCCCCGGGCUCAACCUGGGAACGGCAUCCGGAACUGUCAAGCUAGAGUGCAGGAGAGGAAGGUAGAAUUCCCGGUGUAGCGGUGAAAUGCGUAGAGAUCGGGAGGAAUACCAGUGGCGAAGGCGGCCUUCUGGACUGACACUGACACUGAGGUGCGAAAGCGUGGGUAGCAAACAGGAUUAGAUACCCUUGUAGUC